CCUACGGUAGGCAGCAGUGGGGAAUAUUGGACAAUGGGGGAAACCCUGCUCCAGCGACGCCGCGUUAGUGAAGAAGUAUUUCGGUACGUAAAGCUCUAUCAGCAGGAAAGAAAAUGACGGUCCCUGACUAAGAAGCCCCGGCUAACUACGUGCCAGCAGCCGAGGUAAUACGUAGGGGGCAAGCGUUAUCCGGAUUUACUGGGUGUAAAGGUGGCGUAGACGGAAGAUCAAGUCAGCGGUAAAAUUGAGAGGCUCAACCUCGUCGAGCCGUUGAAACUGGUUUUCUUGAGUGAGUGAGAAGUAUGCGGAAUGCGUGGUGUAGCGGUGAAAUGCAUUGAUAUCACGCAGAACUCCGAUUGCGAAGGCAGCAUACCGGCGCUCAACUGACGCUCAUGCACGAAAGUGUGGGUAUCGAACAGGAUUAGAUACCCGGGUAGUC
rnacentral:rRNA from 1 species